AAGUCACAAUUGGGCCGAAAGCAGAGCCUGGCCCAGCUACCAGGUCCUCAGGGGCAGCCUGCCCGCUCAAUCCAGGUGGCCCCGCAUGGCUGCAGGUGCACAAUGAGGUACCCUCUGGCGCCGCUGGUGAACGACCUCACGCUCUCUUUCCUGGUGUUCUGGCUCUGCCUGCCCGUGAGUUUGCUGCUCUUCUUGAUGAUCGUCUGGUUACACUUCUUACUUAGUCAAGAUUCAAAGGAAGAUGAUUCAGAUUUAUGUUUCAACUGGGAGCCCUGGAGCAAAGGACCGGCUGAGUCUGGCUGUGAGGAGGAGACAUUCUGUGACCAUGAGGACAACCUCCGCUGGUGAGCCUGCUCUACCAGCGGGCAGCUGACUCAGCGGCUCCAGCCACCACCUCCUGGCACAGCCUCAGAUUCCUUCACAUCCAGCCAUGGCAGCAGGUUCUGGAGAGGAAGAAGACACCCGCCUCUUCUUCUCUCUGUCCUCACAGCUGCCUGACUGUGAAGCGUGGUCAAGCACCGUGUUCUCUAGUCUACACGGUGGGAGGAGCCCAAGCACGACUUAUUCCUGGCCCGCUUGUCUAGGUGUCAUCUGGGCCCAAGUGGAUGGAGGGAAGAGAGCACUGGUGACCGAGGAGCCUUCCUGGGACCUCCAAUAGCCAGACCCACCAGGCCUCUGGCCGAACCAUCUGUCCUCCAUCAACAGAGCUGACCUGGGGCCCCUCAGGGAAGAAUCGGGCCCAAGCAGCUUACGGGGGACAGCUGGCCGCCAGCUCAACUCACACGAGGUGCUGGGUACCUAUUAAAGAAAUGGGGGUUCUCCUGUGCCCUGGCAGAG